rnacentral:rRNA from 1 species
UAGGGAAUAUUGGAAAUGGACGAAAGUCUGACGGAGCAACGCCGCGUGAGUGAUGAAGGUUUUCGGAUCGUAAAGCUCUGUUGUUAGGGAAGAACAAGUACCGUUCGAAUAGGGCGGUACCUUGACGGUACCUAACCAGAAAGCCACGGCUAACUACGUGCCAGCAGCCGCGGUAAUACGUAGGUGGCAAGCGUUGUCCGGAAUUAUUGGGCGUAAAGGGCUCGCAGGCGGUUUCUCAAGUCUGAUGUGAAAGCCCCCGGCUCAACCGGGGAGGGUCAUUGGAAACUGGGGAACUUGAGUGCAGAAGAGGAGAGUGGAAUUCCACGUGUAGCGGUGAAAUGCGUAGAGAUGUGGAGGAACACCAGUGGCGAAGGCGACUCUCUGGUCUGUAACUGACGCUGAGGAGCGAAAGCGUGGGGAGCAAACA